CUGUUAUUGUACAAGUACAGUCUUCUCAACAGCUGCGCAUCGUGAAAAAUAUCUAACGAUUUUCGGUCGAUCCCUAAAAAGGUACAAGCUCACAACGAGGCAUCCGUGAAAAUAAAUGAAGUACAAGCUAACUAAACUAGAAGCACGUACGAACAGCGUACUAAGAACGCACUGAUUCGAUGUUACCCUGUUUAAUACCUCGUCAACAAGCGGCUCGAUGAUCGAGAAUAGAUCCUCGGCCAAUUAUAGAUGCCUCGGUCAAAAAUAGCCUCGAUAAGAUAGCAUGCGAGCUCAGGAGACCGACGAGAUUAACCACGAUCAGAAAACUCAGACGAUGCUCGUCGGCAGACACUCUUCGGAGUAUGUAAUAGUUUGCACAGAGUAAUUUGCGUGCGUCCAUUCGAAAAAAAAAAAAAGAAAUCCCGACUGUCACUCCGCGGAGGGACCAACCGGCGUGCAAACAGUUUUAUAACAUCCGAGUGACACGAUCGUGAAUUCCAACGAGCAACGGGCGCAAUAAGACUCGCGUUUGCCGGUUCAGACGCUAAAAGCCAAGCAAAUGCGCUGAAAGCCGGCGCAUCGGCGCUUAAUUAAAUUAAAUCUAAAAUCAAUUACCGACGUGUACGUCGCUUCCGUGCGAGCGUCUAAUCAUGCUGGUACUCGUGGAACCAGAUGGAGUGAAAAGGAAAGAGAAAUACACUGGUAGAGACAAAGCGACGAGAACGGAGAGAGAGAGAAAGAGAGAGAGAAAGAGAGGAGGGCCAGAGAUAGUUGGCCGCGCGGCAAAAACAUAAAUCCUCGUAAAGCAACGCACGUGAGUCCAUACCGGUUACGGGACGCCAGCAAUUAUAAACUAUCUGGAAAAAUGUGAGCGUUGUAUUUCGGGGGAAUACAGUUCCUCUUGUGGUAGCAAGAGAGUAAAAAAAAACAAACAAAAAUCGAUAGGAUCGCCGUUAUUGGAAAUCCGAGCGAAUUUGAGACGAACGUAGCGAGCUUUGUGAAGAUUUGUAUCCUAUUUUCAUCUAUGGAAAUAUCGAUGCUACGUGGGAAAAAGUGGUUGUAAAAA